rnacentral:rRNA from 1 species
GCUUAACGCGAAGAACCUUACCAGCUCUUGACAUGUCUCGUAUGGGUACCGGAGACGGUAUCCCUCAGUUCGGCUGGCGAGAACACAGGUGCUGCAUGGCUGUCGUCAGCUCGUGUCGUGAGAUGUUGGGUUAAGUCCCGCAACGAGCGCAACCCUCGCCUCUAGUUGCCAUCAUUCAGUUGGGCACUCUAGAGGGACUGCCGGUGAUAAGCCGAGAGGAAGGUGGGGAUGACGUCAAGUCCUCAUGGCCCUUACGGGCUGGGCUACACACGUGCUACAAUGGCGGUGACAAUGGGCAGCGAAGGGGCGACCCGGAGCUAAUCUCAAAAAGCCGUCUCAGUUCGGAUUGUACUCUGCAACUCGAGUGCAUGAAGUUGGAAUCGCUAGUAAUCGUGGACCAGCAUGCCACGGUGAAUACGUUCCCGGGUCUUGUACACAC